GCCCAUGUCUCUGUUUUUUUCUUCUCUGCCGUUUUCCUUAGAAAGAGAAAUUCUAGUGAGAGAGAAGGGGGGUGCGGAAACCCUAGAUCUAUCGGAGUAACAAGGACAAUGUCGGAUCCUUACGAGAGGGUUAACGGUGGAAGGUUAGCGUUCAAGGAGGCGAUCUAGCCACGAGGAAGUCGAUCGAAAAGAAGAAGAAGAAACAAAAGAAGACAAGCAAAAGCUCCGACGGCGCUGACACCGAAAGAUGGCUCCUAACUCUUCAGCGAAUUCCCUCCACCCCCGCAACGACAUCUACCUAUUGACGCUGCGAAGAAGAAGAAGUACGACGAUCUGUUCCCGUGGAGGCAAAGAAAUUCGGUUACAUUCCCAAAUCAAACUUCGAAUCAGUAGCAGAGGCUCUUGGACGAUCGAGUCACGAAGAAAGCUGAUCGCUACUGUAAAUAGAAUGUUUUACCAUCCCAACUUGUAUGCGUAUUGCAUUGGUGUUUGUAGAAUCUAAUGACUUUCUUUGAUAAGAGUUAAAUCUAUUUGAAAGUAAGAAAAAAUUGAGUUGCAGUAUAUAUAUUUCAAUACUUGAGUUUAUUUCUGAGAUAUUCA